rnacentral:piRNA from 1 species
UGCUUAUCGAUUUCUGAGCGUCUCCCUG